rnacentral:rRNA from 1 species
CUACCAUGGCUUUUACGGGUAACGGGGGAUUAGGGUUCGAUUCCGGAGAGGGAGCCUGAGAAACGGCUACCACAUCUACGGAAGGCAGCAGGCGCGCAAAUUGCCCAAUCCCGACACGGGGAGGCAGUGACAAGAAAUAACAACUCUAGGUUUUCUUAGAAGUGUAAUGAGGAUAAUUUACAAACCUUACCAAAUGCAAUUGGAGGGCAAGUCUGGUGCCAGCAGCCGCGGUAAUUCCAGCUCCAAUAGCGUAUAUUAAAGUUGUUGCAGUUAAAAAGCUCGUAGUUGAAAAUCUGAUUGCUCAGGUCUCCAGCCUUUAGGCGGGGAUUCUGACAGACAUCCGCUUGCAAACAUAUAUUCGAUCUUCACCGGUUGGCUAUGUGAGUAAGCACCUUACCUUGAGAAAAACAGAGUGUUCCAGGCAGGUUUGUCCGGAAUGUAUUAGCAUGGAAUAAUAGAACAUGACUGAGGUCUAUUUAUUGGUUAAAGGCUUUAGUAAUGAUUAAUAGGAACAGUCGGGGGCAUUCGUACUCAGCAGUCAGAGGUGAAAUUCUAAGAUUUGCUGAAGACGAACUAAUGCGAAAGCAUUUGCCAAGGAUGUUUUCAUUAAUCAAGAACGAAAGUUAGGGGAUC